GAAAAUCUAAAAUAAAAUAUAUUGAUAUCAAAAUAUGUUGUUUAAAAAAAAUUACAAUGAAAAAAAGAAAUAAAAAAAUGACGUUUUUAUAGACAAAGAUGGGUUAAAGUUAUGAAAGAUAAAACAAAUAUUGAAAAUAACGUUGAGCUACUUUUUUUUAGAAACAUGAAACCUAUUAGAUGGAUACAUGGCAAAAGAGCUAAGUUUGCUUUGAACAUUAU
rnacentral:lncRNA from 1 species